AACGAACGCUGGCGGCAGGCUUAACACAUGCAAGUCGAGCGCAGGAAAUCGACGGAACCCUUCGGGGGGAAGUCGAUGGAAUGAGCGGCGGACGGGUGAGUAACACGUAAAGAACCUGCCCUCAGGUCUGGGAUAACCACGAGAAAUCGGGGCUAAUACCGGAUGGGUCAUCGGACCGCAUGGUCCGAGGGUGAAAGGCGCUUCGGCGUCGCCUGGGGAUGGCUUUGCGGUGCAUUAGCUAGUUGGUGGGGUAAUGGCCCACCAAGGCGACGAUGCGUGGACGAUCUGAGAGGGUGAUCGGCCACACUGGGACUGACACACGGCCCAGACUCCUACGGGAGGCAGCAGUAGGGAAUCUUCCACAAUGGACGAAAGUCUGAUGGAGCAACGCCGCGUGAACGAUGAAGGCCUUCGGGUCGUAAAGUUCUGUUGUAAGGGAAGAACAAGUGCCGCAGGCAAUGGCGGCACCUUGACGGUACCUUGCGAGAAAGCCACGGCUAACUACGUGCCAGCCGCCGCAGUAACAC
rnacentral:rRNA from 1 species